rnacentral:rRNA from 1 species
AGAGUUAAAUAGUACGUGAAAUUGUUGAAAGGGAAACGAUUGAAAUCAGUCAUGUCGGCGGGAAAUCAGCCGGGCCUUCGGGCACGGUGCACUUUUCCGCAGGCAGGCCAGCAGCAGUUUUGGCUGCCGGAAAAGGAUCAGGGGAAUGUGGCUCCAUCUGGAGUGUUAUAGCCCUUGGUUUUUACGGCGGCUGGGACUGAGGAACGCAGCCAACCCUUCUGGGCUGGGUGCUCGCCUGCUGCGCUCCCGGGCUUGGGCGGACAGCUUGCUUUCCGUUCAGGCAUUUGGGGGGCACUCGGGUGAAGCAUCUCACGAUGGCUAAGGUUGCUGGCGUAAUGGUUUUAAACGACC